AAAAACGAAUCAGAAACCCACCGCACACCCUCCCUCUCUCUAUCUCGUGCGUCUCCCCCUCCCCACCCCACGAAACCCUCGCCGCCGCUGCCUACGCCGCUCGAUUCCAGCGUGCUCCGGUGGACCUCGUCGGCGCAGCGAACAGAUCCGAGCUCUCGUGCCGCCGCUCUUCCCUCCCCCCCCCCCCCCCCCCCCCCCGUCCAGAUCCGCCUCUCGUGGCCUAGAUACCUCGCCCACGACUCCGGCGCGGCGCUGGCGACUCUGUUCCGCUCUCUCCAAUGCCCAACGGAAGUCCCACGGGCAGCUCUGCCUCGUUGACGGUGCUGCUGCAGGAAUUUCUUUCUUGUUUUUAUCGCCUUUCUCUUGCAAUCUACACCGGAUGUUACACGCUAAUGCUUUGUUUACAUGUUUGGGUUUGGAUUGAUCUUCCCAAGGACACUGUGUUCAAUUGGCAUGUUCUGCUUUGGAUCAAUCUUUCGGAAAUCCCAUGUUGAAUCAGCAUAUGUCAGCACUUUGGAGCUUCCAGCUUUGGUGGCAAUUUCCAUGCCGUAAUCAGCCUGAUAGUAAAAUACUGAUGAUAAUCACCAUGGCGAUCUCAGUCUAAAUGGGGGAACCAGGCCUGGUUAUUAGCUUGUAAAAGUGUCAGUCAUAACUUCUUCCUAUCCAAGUCUACAGAUAGCUAAGUAAUUAACGAAUAUUCCAUGCUCUGCUUUGGAUCAAUCUUUCUGGAAAUCCCAUGCUCAAUCAGCAUAUGACAGCACUUUGGAGCUUCUAGCUUUGGUGGUAAUUUCCAUGCUGUAUUGUCAUUUUCCUUAUGUAUGAAAUCAGCCUGAUAGUAAAUACUGAUUAUAAUCAUCAUGUUAGUCUCGGUCUAAAGUGGGGGAACCAUGCCUGGUGAUAAGUUUGUAAAAGUGUAGGUCAUAACUUCUCCCUAUCCAAGCCUACAGAUAGCUAAGUAAUUAACGAAUAUUUUACAGUUAUUAUGUGGAGAUCCUCUAUCAUACACUAUAAAGUCCCCUUUGUGUGCCAGGCUUUGCUCUUAAAGUUUUGAGAUAAGGAAUUCACUGAUCUGGUCCGAACUGAUUGGCUACAGGACUAGAGGGUACCACGAAGUCAAUGUACAAGGACUACACCAUGCAUGCAUGACAUUAACACCAUGCAAGACGUGGCUACCUUUGGCCAUGUUGAAGCCACGGUUUUCCAGCUCCUUGUACUCUUGGCAUAGCGCGCAACCCUCACAGAAGAAGUGGACGCAGCAAUCGAUGCAGGGCGAUGCUUUCAAGUUGUAUUGCGACCGCAUCGCCGAGCGUUUGGUACAGGAAUACAACCAGUUGGUACAGGAAUACAACCAGUUGCAGCCUACGCACGCCAGGCAAACAUACAGGGUUCCAUUCAUGCAGCAUGCUGAAAACAAGGAGACCCAGCCACAAAGAUGGAUGAUUUUUAUGUUUCAACCCAAGCAUGAAUUCUAAGCGAAACACCUACAUGGGGAGCCUUUGUCCACAAUCUCAGCAAGACGACCAAAGGUAACACAGGGGCACCAGAAAGUCAAGCAACCUGCAAUGUUUGGAAAUGGAAUGGAACAUAGAUGAGUACUUUGCAAGUUUGCAUGCUGCCAGUUGUAUCACAGAGUAGAGCACCAACCAAUGCAUACACAUGUACAACCACAACAUCAGGCACAUCAAAGAUCUAUCUCUUGAAAGAUAAGGCAAAAGUACGCACGCAAUAAUACAUCAUCAAUCCUGACUCAAGUUGCAACAAUCAGCUAACAACAUGUACAAAAACAUCAAAGUCAACAUCGGUCAAAUAGAUAGCAAGGGACGACAAGCUGUACAAACCGACAAAAUGUGAAGACAAACUCGACUAUGUGGUGGUAGUUUAGAUGAUCGAUAUCAACUUGUAAAGUGAAGACAAACUCGCUACUUGCGGUCUCGAUACUUGUAAUGUUUUAACUUUGUUCGGUAUUUUAAAUUCGGAGACUAAUAUAAUGAAUUGUAUUCGGAGACUAA